rnacentral:misc_RNA from 1 species
CAGCCAUCCCCCGCCAACUUUCUCCCUCACACACACACACACACACACACAGACACAGGCACAGACACACACCGCGGGCAGCUCACACAGGGUCGAAGCACCCCAAGCACUCGCCUUGCAGUGCUUUAAUGUUUUGCUAGCCGUUCUCGCAACCCCACCACCAUCCUCUUCUUUCCGUUCUCUGCGGCUUUAUCGAUUCAGUGAGCGCGGCGGCCGUGACGCGAAGCGAGCCCCUCGCCCCCCCCCCCGCCCCACCCACCCACACCACUUCUCGCCCUGCUGCACCGGCGCAUCUCUACAGCUCUGCCUCGCGCAUAUGCCUGCUGUGGCGCUUCCGGUGUUGCUUUGAACGCGUGUCGCACUCGCGCUGCUCCCAUACACACCCUCCACCACCUCCCUGCCCCCCUCACACGCAGAGACACGCGCCACUGUGACUACGCAAUCAUGGACAGCGAAACGGAGUCAUCCAGCAAGCUGCAGAGACAGCUCGUGGAGCUCUUGCGCCCUUCGGGGCGUUGCACAACGCUGCGCGUCUCGCAAAUCGCCUCUAUCCUCGGCGUUGAGGGCGAGGAGCAGUAUCAGCAUCUUCUUGACCUGCUUGCGCGGAGUCGGUUUGCCCAGUACGACGCGGAGCAGCAGAUCGUGCGGUCGCUGCUGGCGCCAAAGGACAACCUCGAAGACGAUGAUGAGGCAGCGCUGCUGGCGCUGAGUGACGUGGACGUAGUUGGCGGUGGCGUCCGCGGCGGUCGUGUUGGACCAACGCCACUUAUUGCUGGGUACCGUCAGCAUCGAUCGAACAGCCGCCACAGCUACCGCGGCGGUGGUGGCAACGCCGUCGCGAGUGGCUAUCGGUCGGACUCCGGCCUCGCUACCGCACACUGCAGCGUCGCUCUCUUGUCACGCCGCCGCGCGGGCGGAACGUGGACCAAGCCAGGCCAGCGCGGCCUGGAGGACGCGGCGAGCUACCCGGGUCCCGUCGGCCGUGUCGGCUACAUCUGCGUCGCGGACGAGUUGCACCUGGGCAAGCUGGAGGCCUACUACCGUGCGCAGGGGUACUACACAAAGUUCGACUUCGAUGUCCUGCACGUGCGCUUCGCGCAGCCAUCCUUCGUGAACGUCGAGGCGAACGCAGGCGACAGAGCGAACGCGCCGGCCGGACAACGCGAUCGCCAACGCUCGCGUCACGCACCGGCGGCGCAGCGCAGCGGCGAUCUAGUCGUGCACGGCGAGGAUACCGGCAGCAUCCCGCCACCGCCCCCGCUUCUCGAACGGGGGGCCGUCGCAGCUGCCGCCCAGCGCUUCGGCGAGUCUACCUCCGCCUCCUCUCAGGGCUACGGUGCGUUGGGGAGCAACACGAGGAGUAAGGCAGCCGUAAACAGCACCCUCGCGCAGGUUGGUGAAGGAGGUGAAGCUGCCGCGGCGACGCCGAACUCGAGCAACAGCGUCAUGCAUUACUUUGACCUCUUCGUGUUCCCUUACGGCGCCGUUGUCUGGUGGGGCUUCGACCAGCGGUACUUCAAGAUUGUGGAGAACGACUACAUGCUGCCACACAGCGCGAUCGGCCACUGCAUGACCAACCGCUACACGACGCAGCUCGUGAACGAGAACUACCCGGUGUGGUGCACCUUCAACCUCGUCGCUCGCGACACGCUGGAGGUGGACGACAACUUCAAAGCGCGCCUGCGUUUCGACCACUUCGUCAUCCCGUACAGGCGCGGCGAGUUGGCGACGGGCAGCGUGCUGAUGCUGUGCGCUUCGCACGCACUUGCGCAGUCUGCCAAGAUCGACUACAUCGAGCUGCAGGUACAGGAGCUGGCUGACAGCUGCUCACCGCUGCCGCGCGAGCUGCGGGAGAAGGGCGCCGUCAGCAUCACGGAACGGCGUCUGCUGCAGCUGCGUGGUGAGGUUCUAUCGUACCGACUCAUGCUGAAGAGCGGCUCCGACUUGCUGGAUGAGCCGGACUUCUUCUGGGAGAACUCGUAUCUGAAGCCGGUCUUUCAAGCGACCAAAGAGGAGUACGAGAUCAGCGAGCGGGUCGAGGCGCUGGACAACAAGCUGGAUGCGGCGAACGAGAUCUUGUCCAUGCUGGCCGAGGACUUCUCGCAACGGCAUGGCGCGCGACUGGAGUGGAUUGUGAUUUGGCUGGUCUUUGUGGAGGUUGUGAUUGGCGUGCUGGAGCUGCUGGUCGACGUGCGGCCGUGGUUCCAGUCGCACGCGCGGUGAAGUACAGGCGAGGGGCGAGUGGUAGGGAAGGUCCUCGGCCGAGUUGGCGAGGCCGAUAUCGCAGUGGGUGUGCUUACCCACAACCGAGUCGACGGGUGUGGCUGCAUGUGUGCAGAUAGCCCACUAGGGCAACGUCUUAUCAACGGCAGAAGCGAACGUGUUUUGUGCUAGCGCUUUCCUAUUUUGUUCUUUCCUGCAUUGUAGCUCUUUGUAGUGGUACCGUGGGGCGAGGGGCGCAUGCCGGAUUCCCGCUCCAACCGUAUCGUGGGUUCUCACUGUUGGUUGAUGAACGGAAGGGGCCCACUGUAUCUGUCUGUGUGUUGCUGCUGCCGUUGCUGUAUAGUAUUCCUCGGUUCCGUUGUACAGCCGCCGCAUCUGCACUGUCCUGCGUCCUGGCGGAGCUGUGUGACCGUGAGAGAGGCAGAGACGGGGGCAGAGAUGGAAGGUAUGAGGUGUGUGCUAGUGUGAGAGACCAGGGCGGCUGAGACGGGCAGCUCGUCUUCUAACUUCCUCGCGCUCCCUCCCCCUUUCCCACUCCUCCCUGCCUUGCUUUCGAUCUCUCCCGCGUGCGUGUCUCCUAGUCAGCGUCGCCGGCUUCAUCUGGGAAGUGGAGGAGCAGAAGCAAUGCCAGUCGUCCUUGUCGGUGUGCUACAAAAAAAAAGCG